AUCAAGACAGAAAAUAACAAAAAAAGUUUCAAUUUUUACCUGCAAUUUUUCCACCGUCGUUUGAUGUUUGAAUGAGGAUGGCAUUGGCUGCUUACCAGUCAUUUGGGUUAUCAGUCUUGCAAUUUUUCCACCUGCAAUUCCAGCAUAUAAUGUUCUUUUCUCGAUAAAUACAUCAGCAUUUUGUAAAGAUCAGAAGUUGCCUAUGUUUUCAAUCCGUACUACUUACCAGUCAAUUGUCGUGUCCUUCACGGUACACGCAGGGUCUUCUCAGUCAACAAUCACAAGGGUGUUCUCUAAUUCUAUCCUUAACUUGAAUGGAACCAGUAGGAAGGGAGAUCCAGAACAAAAACUAAAUGGGUCAUCUUUGUUUUUCGUUUAUGAUCGGUACUAAUUUGCUCUCUCUGUUAUUCACACUUUCUUUUGCAGUUGACAGCAUUAGUCCCUCCAAGUCUAUCCGUGAUGGAACGACCUUGGUUUCAAAAGGUGGAAGCUUUGAGCUUGGUUUCUUCAGUCCAGGUAGUUCCGAGAAUCGUUACUUGGGAAUUUGGUACAAGAACAUCCCAGUUAGAACUGUUGUGUGGGUUGCAAACAGAUGCAACCCCAUUAAUGAUUCUUCCGGCAUCUUGAUGAUAAACAGUACAGGACAUCUUGUGCUGUUAGGUCAGAAUAAGAGUGUCGUUUGGUGGAUAAACUCAGCUAAACAUGCCCCAAGUGCAACAGUAGAGCUUUUGGAUUCUGGGAAUUUAGUACUAAGAGAUGCAGGAACCUAUUUGUGGCAAAGCUUUGACUAUCCUUCUGAUACGUUGUUACCAGGAAUGAAGAUGGGAUGGGACUUGAGGACAGGUAUAAAACGGAGUUUCUCAGCAUGGAAAAAUUCAGAAGACCCGUGUCCAGGAGAUUUCACUUAUGGGAUUGAAAUGGAACGUGAUACUUAUCCUGAGGCAUAUGUUCGGAAAGGCACUGCAAAAUACUAUCGUACUGGCCCAUGGAAUGGCCUGAGAUUCAGUGGUUCACCAGAAUUAAGGCCUAAUCCACUUUAUAGUUUCGACUUUGUCUAUAAUGAUGAGGAAGUGUACUACAUGUACAACCUUCAAAAUGAGUCUGUAAUCUCAAGAAUAGUUUUGAACCAAACCACCAGUACUCGUGAUCGCUUGACGUGGAUUGAAGCAGAUCAAACUUGGAGGGCCUAUUCAUCAGUACCAAGAGACUUGUGUGAUAAUUAUGGCGUCUGCGGAGCCAAUGGAAAGUGUAUCAUUGGUGAGAAUCCAGUCUGCCAAUGUCUAAAAGGAUUCAAGCCUAUGUCUCAAGAAAAAUGGAAUUUGAUGGACUGGUCUCUAGGAUGUGUGCGCAAUAAACCAUUAAGCUGCCAGGAAAGAUAUAAAGAUGGCUUUGUCAAAUUUGUUGGCUUGAAACUGCCAGAUACUACACAUUCUUGGGUGAACAAAAGUAUGAAUCUCAAGGAAUGCAGAACCAAAUGCUUGAGCAACUGUUCCUGUAUGGCUUAUACAAGCUCGGAUAUCAGAGGAGGAGGUACUGGCUGCGCCAUCUGGUUUGGUGAUCUAAUAGAUAUCAGGCAGUUUCCAGCUGCUGGGCAGGAUCUUUAUAUUCGAAUGUCGGCUUCAGAAUUAGAAAGUGGUGGUAAAGUGAAGACAGCAAUGAUAAUUGCAGUUUCCGUAGCAGUAGUGUUUUCUGUAGUGCUGUUAGUUGGAUAUUACCUUCACCGAAACAGGAGAAAAUUAAAAGAGAUAGGUGAAACAAAUAUGAACAAUGAAAGGGAACCAGAGGAGGAUCUGGAGCUUCCGCUCUUUGACCUGCCCACAGUAGCUAGUGCCACAGAUAACUUUUCAAGCAAUAACAAGCUCGGAGAAGGUGGAUUUGGACCGGUUUACAGGGGGACACUACUAGAUGGACAAGAAAUUGCUGUGAAGAGGCUUUCAAGAAGUUCUGGCCAAGGAUUGAAUGAGUUCAAGAAUGAAGUUAUACUGAUUGCAAAGCUUCAGCAUCGAAAUCUUGUAAAGCUUCUUGGAUUCUGCGUUCAAGGAGAGGAGAAAAUGCUGAUUUAUGAAUACAUGCCCAACAGAAGCCUGGACUCCUUUAUUUUUGAUAGUGUGAGAGGAGAACUACUGUUAGAUUGGCCUAAACGUUUCCAUAUUAUUUGCGGAGUUGCUCGGGGUCUCCUCUAUCUCCAUCAGGAUUCCAGGCUAAGGAUUAUUCAUCGAGAUCUCAAAGCAAGUAAUGUUUUACUUGAUAAUGAAAUGAAUCCAAAAAUUUCAGACUUUGGCUUGGCUAGAACAUUAAUUGGAGUAGAUCAGUCUGGUGGAAAUACAAACAGAGUGGUUGGAACAUACGGUUAUAUGGCACCUGAAUAUGCUAUUGAUGGGCUGUUUUCUGUCAAAUCGGAUGUAUUUAGCUUUGGUAUUUUGGUGCUGGAGGUCAUAAGUGGAAGGAAAAAUAAGGGAUUCUACCAUCCAAACCACAGUCAUAACCUUAUUGGACAUGCAUGGAGAUUGUGGAUUCAAGGAAGGGCUUUAGAACUGAUUGAUACGUGUUUAGAAAGCUCAUGUACUCUAUCGGAAGUGUUACGUUGCGUCCAUAUUAGUCUCUUAUGCGUGCAACAUCAUCCGGAGGAUAGACCAAGCAUGGCAUCUGUGGUUAUCAUGCUGGGAAGUGAGAUUGCAUUGGCUCAGCCCAAACAACCUGGUUUCUUUAUAGAAAAGGAAUCACAUGAAGUAGGCUCUUCUUCAGGUAAUCAAAAAUCUUCAACAAACGAAAUGACGAUUACACUUCUGGAGGGCCUUGACAGCAUUAGCCCCUUGCAGUCUAUCCUUGACAACACGACCUUGGUUUCAAGUGAUGGAAGCUUUGAGCUUGGUUUCUUCAGUCCAGGUAGUUCCACGAAUCGUUACUAGGGGAUUUGGUACAAGAACAUCCCAGUUAGAACUGUUGUUUGGGUUGCAAACAGAUGCAACCCCAUUAAUUAUUCUUCCGGCAUGUUGAUGAUAAACAGCACAGGCAAUCUUGUGCUGUUGGGUCAGAACAAGAGUGUUGCUUGGUCGACGAGCACAGGUAAACACGUCCAAAGUGCAAUGGACAGCUUUUAAAUUCUGGAAAUUUGGUAGAAAGAGAUGUGAAAGAUGGAAAUACAGGAACUUAUUUGUGGCAAAGCUUCGACUAUCCUUCUGAUACAUUGUUACCAGGAAUGAAGUUGGGAUGGGACUUGAGGACGGGUCUAAAACGGAGUUUAUCAGCACGGAAAAAUUCAGAAGACCUGAGUCCAGGAUAUUUCACUUUUGGGAUUGAAAUGGGACAUGAUACAUAUCCUGAGGCAUAUAUUUGGAAAGGCACUGCAAAAUACUAUCGUAGUGGCCCAUGGAAUGGCCUGAGAUUCAGUGGUGCACCAGAAUUAAGGCCUAAUCCACUUUAUUGUUUCGACUUUGUCUACAAUGACGAGGAUGUGUACUACAUGUACAACCUUCAAAAUAAGUCUGUAAUCUCAAGACUAGUUUUGAACCAAACCACCAGUACUCAUGAUUGCUUUACAUGGAUUGAAGCAGAUCAAACUUGGAGGGCCUAUUCAUCAGUACCAAUAGACUUGUGUGAUAAUUAUGGCCUCUGUGGAGCCAAUGGAAAUUGUAUCAUUGGUGAGAAUCUAGUCUGCCAAUGACUAAAAGGAUUCAAGCCUAAGUCUCAAGAAAAAUGGAAUUUGAUAGACUGGUCUCUAGGAUGUGUCCACAAUAAACCGUUGAGCUGCCAGGAAAGAUAUAAAGAUGGGUUUGUCAAAUUUAAUGGCCUGAAACUGCCAGAGGCUAUACAUUCUUGGGUGAGCAAAAGUAUGAAUCUCAAGGAAUGCAAAACUAAAUGCUUGAAAAACUGUUCCUGUAUGGCUUAUACAAGCUCAGAUAUCAGAGGAGGAGGUACCGGAUGUGCCAUCUGGUUUGGUGAUCUAAUAGAUGUCAGGCAGUUUACAGCUGCUGGACAGGAUCUGUAUAUUCGGAUGCCAGCUUCAGAGUUAGGUAUGGAACUUGGUAACAUGAGCUGCUUAAAAUGGCAGUAAAUGGCAGUGGCAAUUGCAGUUUCCGUAGCAAUAGUGCUCUCUGGAGUGCUGUUAGUUGGAUAUUUCCUUCACCGAAGCAGGAGAAAAUUAAAAGGCAAAACAAAUCAGAACAAUGAAGGGAAACCGAAGGAGGACCUGGAGCUCCCGCUCUUCGACCUAACCAUAGUAAUAGGAGCCACAAAUAACUUUUCAAGCAAUAACAAGCUCGGAGAAGGUGGAUUUGGACCUGUUUACAGGGGAACACUACAUGGACAAGAAAUUGCUGUGAAGAGGCUUGCAAGAAGUUCUGGCCAAGGAUUGAAUGAGUUCAAGAAUGAAGUUAUUCUGAUUGCCAAGCUUGAGCAUCGAAAUCUUGUAAAGCUACUUGGAUGCUGCGUUCAAGGAGAGGAGAAAAUGCUGAUUUAUGAAUACAUGCCUAAUGGAAGCCUGGACUCCUUUAUUUUCGAUCAAGUGAGAGGAGGACUACUGUUAGAUUGGCCUAAACGUUUCCACCUUAUCUGCGGAAUUGCUCGGGGUCUCCUCUGUCUCCAUCAAGAUUCCAGGCUAAGAAUUAUUCAUAGAGAUCUCAAAGCAAGUAAUGUUUUACUUGAUAAUGAAAUGAAUCCAAAAUUUUCAGAUUUUGGCUUGGCUAGAACUUUAAUUGGAGGAGAUCAGACUGGUGGAAAUACAAACAGAGUGGUUGGAACAUACGGUUACAUGGCACCUGGAUGGGCUGUUUUCUGUCAAAUCGGAUGUAUUUAGCUUUGGUAUUUUGGUGCUGGAGGUCAUAAGUGGAAGGAAAAAUAAGGGAUUGUACCAUCCAAACCACAGCCAUAGCCUUAUUGGACAUGCAUGGAGAUUAUGGAAUCAAGGAAGGCCUUUAGAACUGAUUGAUACGUGUUUAGAAAGUUCAUGUACUCUAUCGGAAGUGUUCUGUUGCAUCCAUGUUAGUCUCUUAUGCAUGCAACAUCAUCCCGAGGAUAGACCAAGCAUGUCAUCUGUGGUUAUAAUGCUGGGAAGCAUUGGCUCAGCCCAAACAACCUAGUUUCUUUAUGGAAAAGGAAUCACAUGAAGCAGGCUCUUCUUCAGGUAAUCAAUCAUCUUCAAGAAACGAAAUAUCAAUAACACUAUUGGAGGUUCGUUAACGAUUGAUUAGUUCGCGGUAACUUAGUUUAUAGAUCGAAGUGGUGUCCUUUAUUGAACAAUAUACAGGUCGAGUGAUAAAAACCUUUUAGCUAUUCAUGUACAUGCUACCAACUAUUUUUCAAACGUACCCUUUGUGAACGAAGCAGUAAGGUUAUCUUAAA